GAUGAACGCUAGCGGGAGGCCUAACACAUGCAAGCCGAGCGGUAUUGUUUCUUCGGACAUGAGAGAGCGGCGUACGGGUGCGUAACACGUGUGCAACCUGCCUUUAUCUGGGGGAUAGCCUUUCGAAAGGAAGAUUAAUACUCCAUAAUAUAUUGAACGGCAUCGUUUAAUAUUGAAAGCUCCGGCGGAUAGAGAUGGGCACGCGCAAGAUUAGCUAGUUGGUGAGGUAACGGCUCACCAAGGCGAUGAUCUUUAGGGGGCCUGAGAGGGUGAUCCCCCACACUGGUACUGAGACACGGACCAGACUCCUACGGGAGGCAGCAGUGAGGAAUAUUGGUCAAUGGGUGCAAGCCUGAACCAGCCAUCCCGCGUGAAGGACGACUGCCCUAUGGGUUGUAAACUUCUUUUGUAUAGGGAUAAACCUACCCUCGGGAGGGUAGCUGAAGGUACUAUACGAAUAAGCACCGGCUAACUCCGUG
rnacentral:rRNA from 1 species